rnacentral:rRNA from 1 species
GACGAACGCUGGCGGCGUGCCUAAUACAUGCAAGUCGAGCGAACCAAUAAGAAGCUUGCUUUUUGUUGGUUAGCGGCGGACGGGUGAGUAACACGUGGGUAACCUGCCUGUAAGACCGGGAUAACUCCGGGAAACCGGUGCUAAUACCGGAUAGAUUAUCUUUCCGCAUGGAGAGAUAAGGAAAGAUGGCUAUUGCCAUCACUUACAGAUGGGCCCGCGGCGCAUUAGCUCGUUGGUGAGGUAACGGCUCACCAAGGCGACGAUGCGUAGCCGACCUGAGAGGGUGAUCGGCCACACUGGGACUGAGACACGGCCCAGACUCCUACGGGAGGCAGCAGUAGGGAAUCUUCCGCAAUGGACGAAAGUCUGACGGAGCAACGCCGCGUGAGCGAAGAAGGUCUUCGGAUCGUAAAGCUCUGUUGUUAGGAAAGAACAAGUAUCGGAGGAAAUGCCGGUACCUUGACGGUACCUGACGAGAAAGCCACGGCUAACUACGUG